rnacentral:lncRNA from 1 species
AGCAUGCGGUUGACCAUAGAGACGGGAUGUUCUAGGCAACUCAGAGGUCAUAGGAGCAAACCCCGAGAGAGGAUGUAUAAGGAAUACCAAGCCUUUCCCAACAAAAAGCGGGAAGGGACCCAGGCCCCAGGAGUCCCUCGCCGAAGGAGGACUCACAGAAAUAAAAUCCACACGCAUCUGGAGAUCCCAAGUCUCCCGGCUGGGUGCACGAGUCUACCCUGCUUCCGCCUCGUCAGGCCUGUUCUCCUUGGGUUCACACAGCCAUUUACCAGACCUCUUAGUCCCCACGUCGCCGGAGAGAUCGAGCGCCCCAUCCCCACGAGUCAUGCCACGAGCACGAAAAGGUUACAUUAAUGAUGGACAGUGCGCAGCAAGACAGUCAAAAGACUGCCCGAGGGAAAGUGUCUAUUUCUGCCAUGCCCUGCUCCCGCACACAGGACACCAACUUACCUUCACUCUCUGAGCUGGAAAG